rnacentral:rRNA from 1 species
AUUGAACGCUGGCGGAAUGCUUUACACAUGCAAGUCGAACGGUAGAGGGGGCAACCCCUCGAGAGUGGCGAACGGGUGAGUAAUAUAUCGGAACGUGCCCAGUCGUGGGGGAUAACGUAGCGAAAGUUACGCUAAUACCGCAUACGAUCUAAGGAUGAAAGCGGGGGAUCGCAAGACCUCGCGCGAUUGGAGCGGCCGAUAUCAGAUUAGGUAGUUGAUGGGGUAAAGGCUCACCAAGCCAACGAUCUGUAGCUGGUCUGAGAGGACGACCAGCCACACUGGAACGAAGACACGGUCCAGACGCCUACGGGAGGCAGCAGUGGGGAAUUUUGGACAAUGGACGCAAGUCUGAUCCAGCCAUUCCGCGUGCAGGAUGAAGGCCCUCGGGUUGUAAACUGCUUUUGUACGGAACGAAAAGGUCUCUCUUAAUACGGGGGACUCAUGACGGUACCGUAAGAAUAAGCACCGGCUAACUACGUGCCAGCCGCCGCCGUAA